AUGCCAUGACGAGGGCAUUUUUGCAACAACUCCUUAAACGCUCCCAUGACUCAUAUAAAGAUUCUUCAUGAAGUUGCUGAAAUGAAGUAAUCUCAUUGCAGAGCUU